rnacentral:lncRNA from 1 species
AUCACCAUAAAAUAAAUAUCAAAGACUACACUGAAUACUUUACUUAGAAGAAAUAGCUUCUCAUACAGAAAUGUUACAAACAGACAGAUAAGAGUGAAUGUCAUUAGAAAUGUUUUCUCUAGGUUACAGUCAGCAUAUUUCUUAGAACUAUGAUCUCCAUUGCUGCACCAAGUUAUAUUUUAGAAGUUUCUUAGACUGCAGAGAAAAUAAAUUCAGUGUUCUGUUGUCUCUCACAAUGAAUGCUCCCUCGUGCUUUUCACAUUGGUUCUGAGGUCCUCCGCAGCAAACAGGUGUGCUUGGACUUCCGUAAAUGAGAGAUGAUACGCUAAUGCAUUCCCAUGAGGAGUUUUUGAGUUUCAUAUCGUGCAGCCUUCUCAAAAGACUGAAGAAACAACCGGCUAUGAAAAGGAUGUCAUUUCUCCAGGAUCACACAGGUACUGCAGAUCAUUACUUGAAUGAAAACCAUGGUCUUCCUAACAAUAAUGAGCCAAUGCUAAGAAAUAGAGAAAGGUUUAACCAUUUUGUAUGCUUGUGCUUUGGGAGGUCUACUAAAGGGAACUACUUCAGCAGGGCCACAAUAAACACUAGAAUCCAUGAUACUUGUACAUGGGAAUCACAUUGGGGAGACAGACAUAUUAAGAAAUUAGAUAUACUAUACAUUGCCAUGACAACAAUGUCCCCUGCUCCUAAGGUGCAAUAGAUAUAUUGAAUUUAUCAAAAUGAGCAACUUUGGGGCUUUUGUAGAGACCUGCUCUUCCCACCCUGGUGACUCAACUUUGUCUCAAGAAUUGUUUGAGGUGAAUCUGGAAAGAGCUUACAUUGAAUGAUGAGACUGAGCUUCUUUCAGAAAUAGAAAGGCUUUUAUUUAUUUUUUUUGUAUUAAAUUCUUUUAUUGGUACAUUGUAGGUAUACAACACAAUUACAUUUCUCAUUGGGAAUUGUACCUUUAUAUAAUGCAUCUUGGUUCUUAUUUUUCCCCAUUCGUAGCCCUCCCUUCACGCCCUCCACCCUUCCCUAUUUACAAAGACUUUAUUUCCAUUUUUUCCAUUUCUCAUCAUUUUUUCCUUUCCCUUCUGUCCUUUCCCCUGUGCCUCUCAGUACCCCUACCCCUUUGGACCUUUUAUUCCUAUUUUACAUUAUCGAUUAUUCAUUCUAAUAAUUGGUACAUUUUAGGUAUACAAUAUAAUGACAUUCAUCAUUGGAAAUUUGCACCUUUACAUAGUCUCUCUUGGUUCUUGUUUUUCACCCUUGCCCAGCCCUCCCUUCAACCCCUCCAGCCCUCCCUAUUUACAAAAAUUUUGUUCCUAUUUAAGUGGGAGGGCUAAGGGAAAGGAUAGAAAGGCUUUUAUGCAGGCUGAACAUAAAAUAUAAUAGCCACAUGGAAUGUUUUCUAUUUGUAUUUUUAAGCAGGGAAUAUUUUCAUGGUAUUUCAACAUUUUUGCAGGGAAAUCAUUGAUAUCAAUGCUUCUGGAUUAUUUUAACUGAAUGAUACACAAAAAAUUGCUUCAAACCAAAUUUAUCAAUCUGUAAUUUGUUGUUUCACAUAAGAACUCAGUUGCUCGGUGCACAUUAUUGAAGCUAAGGCUGAGUCUUUGCUCACCACUGGACCACUUGGUGUUACUGAGAGCAUGGCUUUGACUAGAGAUGCUACUUCUAGUUCUGCUUAGAAAUCAGCCUGAGGAUAGGAUAGACAGAGCCAGUACUUGACUAGCUGCCGGUGUUCUAGGAAAGAUAAUUCAUGGCACCUUUUAUGUGUUAAUGAAUGCAUACCAAAAUAUUCGAGAGACCUGCUUUAAUAUUAUACAAUAUGACAUUUUCAUUAAUGGUUAUAAUCAAUCCAUUAAUUGACUCUCCUACCAUAAGUCCUAUUAUUUAAGGCUGCUUAAUGAAGUAGGUAUCUAAUUCUAUACAUUCAGAAGAGUAACACAUAAUCUUGUUUUUCACCUGUCAGUUUGAAUUUAUAAAGAGGUGGAAAAUGGACCAUUCUUCCCAAAUGAAAUUUGAGAAUUCUUUUAAGAGAAACCUUUUAUAGUAAUCACAU